CACCGCAUUUAAGCCCCGCCCCCUUACAUCACCCCUAUUCCUUUCCCAUUACAUCACCCCCCUUAGCCACGCCCCCAUUACAUCAUCCCAUCCCUUUCCCAUUACAUCACCCCCCUUAGCCACGCCCCCAUUACAUCACCCCAUCCCUUUCCCAUUACAUUACCUUCUUUGGCCACGCCCCCAUUACAUCACCCCUAUUCCUUUCCCAUUACAUCACCCCCCCUUAGCCACGCCCCCCCAUUCCACCAUUCAUUCUUUUAACCCCUCCCACCUUUAAGCCACGCCCACACAGGUGUGUGGGCGUGUCCGUAGUGAAGCCCCGCCCCCCCUGUGACGUCACGCAGGUGUUCCAGGUGAACGUGACGGCGGCGGCCAUGUUGGUGCGGCUGGUGGUGCCGCACAUGGAGAAGCGAGGGUGACUGGGUUAUACUGGUUUAUACUGGGUUAUACUGGUUUAUACUGGUUUAUGCUGGUUUAUACUGGUUUAUACUGGGAGGGAAAAAAUGGUGAAAAAUUGGGCGAAAAUUGGGUUCAAAAUGGGGAAAAAACGGGUUAAAAAUGGGGGAAAAUUGGAAUUUGGGGUUACUGGGUUAUACUGGUUUAUACUGGGUUAUACUGGUUUAUGCUGGUUUAUACUGGUUUAUACUGGUUUAAACUGGUUUAUACUGGGAGGGGAAAAAUGGUGAAAAUUGGGCGAAAAUUGGGUUAAAAAUGGGGAAAAAAAAAGGGGUAAAAAUGGGGGAAAAUUGGAAUUUGGGGUUACUGGUUUGUACUGGUUUAUACUGGUUUAUACUGGUUUAUACUGGGAGGGGAAAAAUGGUGAAAAUUGGGCGAAAAUUGGGUUAAAAAUGGGGAAAAAAAAAGGGUUAAAAAUGGGGGAAAAUUGGAAUUUGGGGUUACUGGUUUGUACUGGUUUAUACUGGGUUAUACUGGUUUAUACUGGGAGGGGAAAAAUGGUGAAAAUUGGGCGAAAAUUGGGUUAAAAAUGGGGGAAAAAAGGGUUAAAAACGGGGGAAAAUUGGAAUUUGGGGUUACUGGUUUGUACUGGUUUAUACUGGUUUAUACUGGGAUGGGUUCUGGGGUUACUGGGACGAACUGGGACCCCAUUUUCCCUUACUGGUUUGGUGCUUUCCCUUACUGGUUUAUACUGGUUUGGGGUUUUUCCUUACUGGUUUGUACUGGUUUAUACUGGGAUGGGUUCUGGGGUUACUGGGAUGAACUGGGAUGA
rnacentral:lncRNA from 1 species